UAGUGAACCAAUUAAGUGAUUAAAGCAUUUGGCUUGCUUAUCUAAUAUAGAAAUUCAUAUCACUUUCAGUUGUGAUCAUCUUUACUCUAGCAUUUUGUACUAGUUUUUUUAAAAAAUUAUUUAUUAAUUUUAAAUAUACAAUUACUUAAGUAGUUAAAUCUUGAUUUACAGGUGGAAAUAUAGUUAUUCUAAAAAGUAUCAUUAGGCCAACAGAAACAGUUGCAAUCGGAGUACUUAAAAGCACAGACGCAUCUAAAGAAGUAGAAGGGGAAGAACUAGGACCUGACUAUUGGGAGGUACAUGUUCCAGUGCCAAUCAAACUUAAUGAGAGCUUGAUCCGAUCAUAUGGACUUGUCAAAACAAUUGGACAAGCUAUUGGAGCUCAUGUUGCUUGGCUUGCUCCAUUUGUGAUGCAGAUUUCACAAGUUAUGGAUGCUAGCCGAGAAUAUUUAUACAAGUGAGGUUGAGAAUUUGGGAACUAAUUUUAUUUUUGAUAAUUUUUCUCUCCGGAAUAUGCAUAUCACUAUGGCUUUUCAGAACUUAUGGUCGGAAUAAUUUUCUUUUAAAUUGUUUUUGUUUUAACUUUGUUAGUGUGGUGGAAUAUUUAAUAAUUUUGGAUUGAGAUUUUAAUGAA